rnacentral:ncRNA from 1 species
ACAAUGAUACUCCUGUCCAGCCACAGUCCGAGCGUGAUAAAACCGUCGUAGGCAAUGGGACGGUUGCGAGAGAACCUCGCAAGGGUGAAACUCCCGUG